CUUAAUCAAUUCCUAUUAUAAUUCUCAAUAAAUCUUAAUAAAAUCUUAAACCAAUCCCAACCAAAUUUUAAUGAAAUCCUUAAUUUUAAUAAAAUCUUAAGCAAAAUUUAAAUCCUAAUCUUUGACCAAAUUCUAAUAAAAUCCUAAAUCCUGAUUAAAUCUUAAUCAAAUUUUAAAUCCUAAUUUUAGACCAAAUUCUAUUCAUAUCCUAAAUAAAUCCUAAUCAAAUUUUAAAUCCUAAUUCUACACUAAAUCCUAAUAAAAUCCUAAAUCCUAAUGAAAUUCUAAUAAAAUUCUAAAUCCUAACCUUAGACCAAAUCCUAUUCAAAUCCUAGACAAAUUCUAAUCAAAUUC
rnacentral:lncRNA from 1 species